rnacentral:rRNA from 1 species
UACGGAGGGGGCUAGCGUUGUUCGGAAUUACUGGGCGUAAAGCGCGCGUAGGCGGAUCUGCAAGUCGGGGGUGAAAUCCCGAGGCUCAACCUCGGAACUGCCUUCGAUACUGCGGGUCUCGAGUCCGGGAGAGGUGAGUGGAAUUCCUAGUGUAGAGGUGAAAUUCGUAGAUAUUAGGAAGAACACCAGUGGCGAAGGCGGCUCACUGGCCCGGUACUGACGCUGAGGCGCGAAAGCUAGGGGAGCAAACGGG